AUUGAACGCUGGCGGCAGGCCUAACACAUGCAAGUCGAGCGGAGCGGCGGACGGGUGAGGAAAGCCUAGGAAUCGGCAUGGGCGUGGGGGAUAACGUCAGGAAACGGGCGCUAAAACUGCAUACUAUUAACAUAGCCUAGGCCGGAUUAGCUAGUGGUUGGGGUAAGGCCUACCAAGGCCACGAUCCGUAACUGGUCUGUGAGAAUGAUCAUGCACACUGGAAGUGAGACACGGUCCAGACUCCUACGGGAGGCAGCAGUGGGGAAUAUUGGACAAUGGGCGAAAGCCUGAUCCAGCCAUGCCGCGUGUGUGAAGAAGGUCUUCGGAUUGUAAAGCACUUUCAGCGGGGAGGCGUUACCCGCAGAAGAAGCACCGGCUAACUCCGUGCCAGCAGCCGCGGUAAUUC
rnacentral:rRNA from 1 species